CGUUCGAAGCCCAUUGGGCCUUAAGGUCCAAAACUAUCCCGAGGUAUUUAACGAACUUAUUCGUUUGAUUAAUUAACAUAUUAAUUAAUGCUUGCCAUAAAUAAAUGAUUAAACCAUUUCAUCAUUCUUACUCAUCUCCAUUGUUUCUUCAAUCUCCACCUUACACGGUGUGUGCGAUCCAUUAGGUUCCUUUUAGCGAGGCAGUGGGCGAUUAAAAACCAUUUUACAUCGAUUGUGAAUUGAAACUUACUUUCAAUUCUCCCUUUAGUGAUUACACAC
rnacentral:lncRNA from 1 species